UACGUAGGUGGCGAGCGUUGUCCGGAUUUACUGGGCGUAAAGAGCGCGCAGGCGGUCGUACAAGUCGCGUGUGAAAGCCCCCGGCUCAACUGGGGAGGGUCACGCGAUACUGUUCGACUCGAAGGCAGGAGAGGGUAGUGGAAUUCCCGGUGUAGUGGUGAAAUGCGUAGAUAUCGAGAGGAACACCUGCGGCGAAGGCGGGUUGCUGGGCUGACACUGACGCUGAGGCGCGAAAGCUAGGGGAGCGAACGGG
rnacentral:rRNA from 1 species